rnacentral:lncRNA from 1 species
UAAGGCAGGUUUUUUGAAAGUAUUGUUGAUUUGGUUUUCUUUGGGGGGGUGGGGGUGGAAAGCGAGGAAAAGAUUUCUUAGAAAAGAAGGGGGCAGGCUGAAAAAAGCAAAACCAUCAUGAAUUGUGUUGUCACAUCGUGCCGGUGUCACAACCAGCUCAGUAGACUGCUGCACUGAAAACAUUUCUGUGAGAGAAUCCUGCUGCAUCACAGAAGCUGGAAGUUCUGAUGUUCCACUGAAAUCACAAUGGGAAGUCUUGACUUGACUGGCACCCUCAGGAAGACCCUAAGCCUCUAGCAGAUGAUAUCAUCUCCAGCAUGUUAUAGAUGUGGAGGAUCCCUUGGGAUAUUGAGAAAUACCAGAGGCGAAUUGUUCCACUGUAGUCACAGUAAUGAAAGGCAGUAAUAGAAAUAAAGAUCAUUCAGCAGAAGGAGAAGGGGCCGGAAAACGACCAAAACGGAAGUGUCUUCAGUGGCAUCCGUUGCUAGCCAAGAAACUUCUGGACUUUUCAGAAGAGGAGGAGGAAGACGAGGAAGAAGAAGAUAUUGAUAAAGU